rnacentral:lncRNA from 1 species
UGUAUCGCGUGUCGGGACGUGCAAAAGGGUCUUUGUCGGUCUAUCGUGCACUCACAGCAGCGAUUCGUUUUCUAAUUUGUGUUUUUCGAGAAACGUCGCGUGGAAUCUCAAUUUGAUUAAAAAGUGGACCGAUCGGCGCGGUUUCUAGAUAGUGGAUUAGUUGGCAGAGGUGUGCAGUGACCGCCUAACCUAGUACACCUGUCUGAAAAAGCCAGGUCAGGUCUGUUUGGCUUGGUCAGUCAGCAGAGGAUUCGCGUCCCGGCCGGAGUCCGACACGCAGAUGAUUCAAACAGCACUUGGGACGUUUCCACUUGAUUGGGUGUAUGCUGAUGGCAGAUGCGAUGCUUGCGCUGCGCAGGUUCGGGUGGCGACGCGGAAGAUCUACGACCCGCUGGAGGAGGACGCCUUCCGCCCCAUCCUCCACCACUACGACGGGCCCAAGUUCCGGCUCGAGCUCUCCGUCACCGAGGCCCUCGCGCUCCUCGACAUCUUCGCAGACAAGGACGACGCCUGAUCCGGCGAUCGGUCGUCGUCAGGCCGCCGUCGAGCAACAGGAGGGCAAGACCGAGAGUGCAUACCACCAGUAUAGCAUUUAUUACCUUUGUUUGAUAAGGGCUAUGAGGCAUGCGUCCC